GAUGAACGCUGGCGGCGUGCCUAAUACAUGCAAGUCGAGCGAACUGACGAGAAGCUUGCUUCUCUGAUGUUAGCGGCGGACGGGUGAGUAACACGUGGAUAACCUACCUAUAAGACUGGGAUAACUUCGGGAAACCGGAGCUAAUACCGGUUAAUAUUUUGAACCGCAUGGUUCAAAAGUGAAAGACGGUCUUGCUGUCACUUAUAGAUGGAUCCGCGCUGCAUUAGCUAGUUGGUAAGGUAACGGCUUACCAAGGCAACGAUGCAUAGCCGACCUGAGAGGGUGAUCGGCCACACUGGAACUGAGACACGGUCCAGACUCCUACGGGAGGCAGCAGUAGGGAAUCUUCCGCAAUGGGCGAAAGCCUGACGGAGCAACGCCGCGUGAGUGAUGAAGGUCUUCGGAUCGUAAAACUCUGUUAUUAGGGAAGAACAUAUGUGUAAGUAACUGUGCACAUCUUGACGGUACCUAAUCAGAAAGCCACGGCUAACUACGUG
rnacentral:rRNA from 1 species